UGUGUUUUAGGUUCUCACGCAUCUUGACAAUCAUAGGGAUGGACUUCAGUCUAUGUUGACUAACAGCCUUCCUUGUCAACUCAGGCUUUAAGGCUGGGUGAAAACAGCUAGAUGAAAGAAAUAUGUCUGUAGGGCUAGAAUAUUAUUCAGUCCAAGAACUGACUUAAAGACAACUGCCAUCUUAGCGAAUCAGAAAAGUCUUCAUGCACAUAUAUUAUUGGUUUAAACCCCCCCAGUAAAAAUGAUAGAACUUGAA